UGCCUGAAACGUACAAGCAGUUUAGCUGGGAAGUGCAGCGAAGCACGUGAGCCCCUGUUUUUCCCUCAGCGCUGCCUUCUCAUCCUUCACUGUUUGCUCCAGUGUCAUCCUCAUUGUUCCCCGUUCAGCCUUUCCGAAGGCUGCCAACAAAACCGCCGAAUCAAGAACCUGAGGCUGAAGUGAGAGGAUGAAUUCCAGCUCCGCCGUCCGAGCCGGCCCCCGGUGCUUGAGCUUUGUUAGACUGAAAAUUAAUGAGGCUCUCAGUCAGCUGCCUGCCUGACCUGUCACACAAGGAGAGCCUGACAUGCUUUCUGUAAUUCCUCCUCGGAUGGAAAUGGGCGUUCUUCACAUUUGCUUUCUCAGUACUUCCUUCAUCAACUGAUCUUUGAAGGUAAGCUGGAAUCGCUGCUGUCUGCUCAGGUGUUUUGGGGUGGAUGGUAAGGCGAUGCGCUAGGCAUGGACACAGUCACCGAUUUACCCUUCUUGGCAGGUUUGGAGAAGUCAGGAGGUGGGGCUGGACAUCUGCUGGUCUAGAUUCUCUUCCAGAUGCUGCCACACACGACUACAGACAUUUUUCUUCUCAUACGACAACACUGGGGUUGAAGAUGGAAGUGAGCCGUGGCUGUUACCUGGUGGUUAGGAAUCGGCACGUGACAAGCCAGGAGUUUGAUGGGAAAGUGUGAAUCCUGCAUCAGAGGUUCCUGAGAUGGCGGUGAUACCGCUGACCACGUGCUCGUGGCUCUUCUCAGAGGAAAACGCUCGGCCUGGCCUUCUGGCAUGAAGUUGGAGGAAGUAGCUUCUGCAUUAAGGAUGCUGAAGGCUUACAUUUUCAUCUCUGCGUUCUUACUAGAUUAGGCAAUUUGGGUGUGGAUUUUAUUUUAUUUCAUUUUGAAGAGAAUAGGGGAUGAAUGCAGACCAGAAAAUUCAGAAAAGAUGGUUGAAAGGAUGGAGGAAGGAGGUUUUGCCUCUGGCAGCCAGAUUCCCCUCAGCCACUCCUGGAAAACAUUGCUUUCAUCUCCCAAGUUAUUCAUGGCAAAGGCAAGUGAAUGACCAUGAAGAAUUGCAGACAGUCCUUAUGAGAUGAAGUAGGCAUUAAAACAGCAAUUGCAAUUCAAUGUAAAUAAAUACGAAGCGAUGCAUGUGAGGAAAAAAAAUAAUCCUAGUGCCACAUAAGCUGUGCUCCGAGCUGCUGGCUAUUGCUGAGGAAUGAGUUGUUGAAGCUAUCAUAGAUACAUCUGUGAAAAUGUCAAAUCAGCACUCAACAGCGGCCAAAAAAAGGAAUCCAAAUGCCAGAAAGUGAUGGGAAAGGAACAGACAGCAAAGUGGAGAAGUGUUUUUGUGACAGUGUGCGAGUCUGCGGCCUCCCGCACUGUAAAUACUGCGCAGUCCUGAUGCCUGAAAAGGACGGAACAGAACUGGAAAUGAACCAGCAAAUGACACCAGCAAUAGAUAAAGGCAUGGCACUGCUUCUGCAUGAGAAAUGACAGAGUAAGUUAGGACUUAGAGCCGGGAAAAGACAAAUGGGGAAAGACGUGAUAGAGUGGCACAGAUACUCCACAAUAUUUUUAGUGGGCGCUGUUUCUUUCAGUGAACGAUCCGGAGGGCAUCAAAUGAAGCUGUUAUUUACCACGUACAAAAUGAACUGGAAGAGGUGGCUGUAGAACUUCCUGCGUCAGGACACGCAGCCUGGGGCUCCGGAGGUCCCCAAGCUACAAAACACGAGGAGGCUUCUGCAUGCUCCACAGCAGGCCGGUGCCAACGCCGCGCUCCUGGAGGC